AUAUCCCUCAGAUGCUACAUUGAAUUAGCAUGGUUCGAUGGCCAAGACGAUCGGCUGACAGGACGUUGCCAAAUACAGCAAACACCUGCCUAACUAUGAGAUUUAGAAGAGCCUCAGAGAUGACCUAACUCAUACCAGAGAAAGCAGCUUGGGGAUGACCUAACUCACGUCAGGAAAAGCAGCUCCUCUCACCCACCUGCCACCAUCCCAUAAUACCUUCACGCUGGUGGGGUGUGAGGUGCUGUGAAGUUACCGUUACCACCAAAGCUACCCCUCGCACGAGGAAAUCUUCAGCUGUUGCCUUGAGCUCUCUGCCUGGCACGGGCUGGGUGGGGAUGGGCUGCACUGGCUGGACCCAGUGCUUUCUCUGAGAGUCUGAUCCAAUGUUUAUGAUGAUUUUCAGUGAGUUCCAGUGGGAUUUCUAGUGGCUUAUGUUGCUAUAUGCAAGACCAGGUUUUUGUCUUUCUGCAGUUUGGGUGAUGUGUAUUUGCAUGCAAUUGCAAGCAAAUUCAGCACAGUUUUGUAGUCUAGCAAGUAGUUAACUGGAACGUUAGUGCUACUGGUGGUGGUCGGUUACUGAAGCUUUCAGAGACCCAUCUUGCGAGACAUCUUACUGGGAGACUGCUGGAAGUUUAGGAUCCUGAUUUAGGAGGUUUGUCUGUAUCUUUGGAGGAUUUUAGAGCUCCUUUUGAGUAUUUACAACAUUUUCGCUUUACCCUACCCACUCAGCCUGUGUCUAGCUUACAGAGCAGUAUGCACGCUUUGGCUGAGCUUUAGCUCCAAAACGGGAGGAGAGCUGGGUGUGUGUUAGUGGUCCCUGUUCCCAGAGUCCUCACUUCCUGAGCACUGACUUUUUUUUUGGAAAGAAACUUGAGCUGACAGCUGAAAGGAAACUCCAGAGUACGCCCACCGGUACCGCAGUGCGGGUGAGUGGGGGACCAGGGCUGCGGGGUGCACCCUGGGGGACUCCUGCUCUGCAGCCCGGGAACAUCCAUGGGGCGUUAUUCUACUUGGAGGAAAAGCUGAGUGUGUGACCAAAACUUGGGAGUGCAAUUUGGAGGUGUGUUAGAAGUGGUGGGAUCCAAGUGGAAUGGUGUUGUGGGUCAAUCCCCUCUGGACAGAAUGGGAGCAAAAUGCUCACCUCUGUUCUCCAUACAUCCUCUUAACUGAACUUAAUGCUCUCUAAGAAGAGCGUAAAUCACGAGAAACACAACCUGUGUCCUAGAGUAGUUAUGCAGGAUGAAAACAUACUGUUAAUUUGUAACUAGGAAAUGCAGUGUUCUUCAGAAAGGUUGAAUUAAAAAUUUAAACUGAGGGUUUUUCUUGUUUGAGCUCACAGCACAGUGCUAUCCUGUCCAAUCUGUGUGCUGGAAGGGUCUACCACAACAUAACAGUUGCUUGAAAAAGUAUUCAUUUUAGUAAAGUUAUGGAAUAUGAAGGUGUUUAAUAAGUAGCCUUAACCUUUUGUAAAUAAUGGAAAAACUUGUGUUAUCUCAUUCCAAAUUCUUUUAUUACAGUUAUA